rnacentral:rRNA from 1 species
CUUGGUCAUUUAGAGGAAGUAAAAGUCGUAACAAGGUUUCCGUAGGUGAACCUGCGGAAGGAUCAUUAAAGAAUUGCCCCAUUUUUUGAAAUGGGUUCUAUUCCCAAACCGUGUAUACAUACCUUUGUUGCUUUGGCAAGCCGUCCUUCGGGCGCAGCUUCGGCUGAGAGCGCUUGCCAGAGGACCCCAACUCUUUUGUUUAGUGAUGUCUGAGUACUAUAUAAUAGUUAAAACUUUCAACAACGGAUCUCUUGGUUCUGGCAUCGAUGAAGAACGCAGCGAAAUGCGAUAAGUAAUGUGAAUUGCAGAAUUCAGUGAAUCAUCGAAUCUUUGAACGCACAUUGCGCCCCUUGGUAUUCCGAGGGGCAUGCCUGUUCGAGCGUCAUUAUGACCACUCAAGCCUAGCUUGGUAUUGGGGUUCGCGGUCUCGCGGCUCUUAAAAUCAGUGGCGGUGCCAUCUGGCUCUAAGCGUAGUAAUUCUCUCGCUAUAGGGCUCCGGUAGUUGCUUGACAAAACCCCCCUAUUUCUCACGGUUGACCUCGGAUCAGGUAGGGAUACCCGCUGAACUUAAGCAUAUCAAUAAGCGGAGGA